rnacentral:piRNA from 1 species
CCCUAUCAAAAGUGGUCACUGCCCCACUGC